GACAGAGGGUGCAAACGUUGCUCGGAAUUACUGGGCGUAAAGCGCGUGUAGGCUGACCGGAAAGUCGGGCGUGAAAGCCCUGGGCUCAACCCAGGAACUGCACUCGAAACUCCCGGUCUAGAGUGGUGGAGAGGGUAGUGGAAUUCCCGGUGUAGCGGUGAAAUGCGUAGAGAUCGGGAGGAACAUCAGUGGCGAAGGCGGCCCUCUGGACCAGCACUGACGCUGAGGCACGAAAGCGUGGGGAGCGAUCCGG
rnacentral:rRNA from 1 species